AUUGAACGCUGGCGGCAUGCUUUACACAUGCAAGUCGAACGGUAACAGGUUAAGCUGACGAGUGGCGAACGGGUGAGUAAUGCAUCGGAACGUGCCCGGUCGUGGGGGAUAACGCAGCGAAAGCUGCGCUAAUACCGCAUACGAUCUGAGGAUGAAAGCGGGGGACCGUAAGGCCUCGCGCGAUCGGAGCGGCCGACGUCAGAUUAGGUAGUUGGUGGGGUAAAGGCUCACCAAGCCAACGAUCUGUAGCUGGUCUGAGAGGACGACCAGCCACACUGGGACUGAGAGACGGCCCAGACUCCUACGGGAGGCAGCAGUGGGGAAUUUUGGACAAUGGGCGAAAGCCUGAUCCAGCAGUGCCGCGUGCAGGAAGAAGGCCUUCGGGUUGUAAACUGCUUUUGUACGGAGCGAAAAGGUCUCCUCUAAUACAGGGGGCUCAUGACGGUACCAUAAGAAUAAGCACCGGCUAACUACGUGCCAGCCGCCGCCGUAA
rnacentral:rRNA from 1 species